rnacentral:tRNA from 1 species
GUCGGCGUACCCAAGUGGUCUAAGGGGUCUCUCUGCAAAAGAGAUAUUCAUCGGUUCGAAUCCGAUCGCUGACUCCA